UUCGUGUCCUCUCGGGGCUCCAAUCCCGAUGCUUCGUCUCCUCUCGGGGCUCCAAUCCCGAUGCUUCGUCUCCUCUCGGGGCUCCAAUCCCGAUGCUUCGUGUCCUCUCGGGGCUCCAAUCCCGAUGCUUCGUCUCCUCUCGGGGCUCCAAUCCCGAUGCUUCAUCUCUUCGCACCUGCCCUGGGCGGGUCUGCAGAGCUCCUGGGAACAGGCGGGACUUCCUCGCUUUAAAGGUUGUAAGUUGAGAGCACCUCACCUAACUGUCCAGGGCGGCUCUGACGGGCCUCAGUCUCCCUGCGAUGUCACACAGGAAGCCCAGGACGGGGCGCUCCAGCCGUCCUGGUUAGACCAGAUCACUGCGCCCCGUGGGCUCCCCGUGAGUCCAGCAUCGUUUCCCGCACAGUGGCCCAGGCCGAGUCCCCGUGGGCUGUGACUGGGGGACAGUGGGACUCGGGGUUGGGGGCUCGAGUCAUGGCUUCACUGUCCACUGUGACUGGGGACCCCCAGGGGGAUUUCUGGGGGACAUAUUUUGCCCACUGCACUGGAAUUUUUCUUUCAGAAGAAACGGGGAGGGGGCGCUGCAUCUGCACCCGCAGGGUCCCGCCGGCCUGGAAUUCCAUCCCACCUGCCCCACUGAUCCCGGCCCAUCCCUGUGACCAGGAGAUGCAGUCCAGGGAGUCCCCAGGUCGGGGCCACAUGGCUGCCCUAGGAGCCUGGCCUCAGGGAGGGGUGCUGUGGGGCACCCCUAGGUCCACUGAGGGAAGGGAGGGGACUUCCCCACGGGUAAGUGGGGAUGGAGGGUGCUCUGAAGAACAGGAGACAGAGCCCCACCCCUCUUCGCAGCUGAGCAAAAAAGGCCCUGAACAGUCUCACCUGAACUACUCAUGGCGCCCUUGUCACAUUGGAAUAGAGACAGGGUCCCGCGACCCCGCCAAUGGCAGGAACCUACCCAGAAUCCUCAGUGGCAUGAACAGCAGUGCCCAGCCUCACGUGGUUGUUACAUGAAGAUUACCCGUCACAGUCGAGAGGCACGCUGCUCCAGGCCAUCUUCACAGGACUGCCUCGCUCCCCCUCACAGGGCAAUAGUGUCAAUACAACGGCGUUUUACAGACGCUGGCGCCACCAUUGGCCACGCCAGGAGCAGAGCCGCCCGGGGAAACAGCUCCGUCUUGGUCUCUCCGCUCGCUCAGUCACAAGCGGGAAAACAGCCUCAGCCUGAAUCCUGGGAAGUGAAUCGCUGCAGACGCUGCAGAAACCAGGGCCCGCCGGUCUCAGCUCUGCGGUGCGGUCCCGAGCGACGGACGGACGAAGCCCCUCGGAGUCCAGCAGCCUGGAUGUGACUCCACAGCUCAAGUCCGCACGGACGAAAGGACUUAGUUUUUACCCAGGCGUGAAACAGACCCGGGCUCUGAGCUGCUGCGGGCACAGGACAGACGCCUGGGAGCCUGCAGCGGACACACUCCUGGGGGCCGGAAAGGCUGCCCGGGGAGAGAAUAGAGACAGCAGCCCCCGGACACCAGGACGGACGGCUCCCCCGUGAAGGACUCGCCCCGCGGGCGCCAGGCUCCUGCCCAGCCCGUCCCCACCUCCCGUGGCGCUCUGGGCCCUCCCUGUGGGGUUGCCCCUCCCCACAUUCAGUCCCUGUGGGCCAGGUGGGGGCCUCGCCUUUUUGUGCAUCUGAAUCGUGUGAUCGGGGCCCACAUAGUGAACACACAACCUUCCUAGGACAGCACUCUGUGGGGUCUAAACGCAUGACCUCAUCUGGGCCAGUCAGAGCAACAUCAGGACCAGUGCAGAAGCUACUGGGGAAGUCGCGUGCUCUUUCUUAAGCACAUGUGAGCUGGGAGGUGCUGCAGCAUUGAUGGGGUCACAGCCAGAGGGGAUUCCGGGGCUGCCAGGGGACAGUGUAUGGGCCUGAGAUGGAAGCAACGCAGGAGGGAAGAGCCAGAGUGAGAGAGGACAGAGCAGGAGACAGAGAGAGAGAGAGAAGGAGAGAAUGGGGUGGGGGGAGAGACUGCAGGGGAGAGCAGCAGACAGAGAGAGGAGAGAGAGAGAGAGAUGGAGCAAGAGGGAAAGAACUUCCUGGUCAUGUUUCUAGAGGCCGGAAUGCAGCCAUACCUGGAACCAGCUAGAAUAACCUAGAUUUCUUCACUACGUGAGCCAGCACAUUCCCAGGCAUCUGCUGAUUGGCGUCAGGGUUUCUGCUGCUCCGCAGAGAACUGCCCACCGCUGCCCACCCUGUCCUGACUGUGGACGGCCAAGCCGGGCACUUGUCCACCAGCUGUGACCCCAGCCCUCCUCUCUGGUGACAGCGAGUCUGAAUGGAGCAAAUGAGCGGUCACCCACCAUCAAUUAACUCUAGUGAGCUUUUAUUUUUUUAAAAGUAAAAUAUUCCCAACCUAUGACACUUUGGGAUUUUGAAAAACAUGACUUGUCACACCACAGAAAACCAUGGUGACACAAUGGUGUGCCUCAGUGCAGUGGAGAAGAGCUGAGUGAACCCGGCUCUGGCGCUGGGCUCUGGCGCUGCGGGGAGCAUGUGCUCACCACGAGUCCUGGUCGUCUUCUGGGGGAGAGCCCUGACUUCUCUGAGGAAGCUGCGUGCCCCUCUAUCCUGCUGGUUAGGACAUAAGUGUCCCUGCUGUGCCCGGGGCUGCCUCCAUGGUGACGAUGAUUCCGGAACCUCGGGUGGGGAGGGAGGCUCAGAAGGGCCUGUGCCCUGACACCUGCACCUCCGGGCACCCUGCCUGUGGGUUCGUUUCCAAUCUCCAUCUCUGGCGCCUCCCACCAAGAGCCUGAACCUGCACACCUGGGCUCAGUACCGAGACACGGGCCACGCGGCACCUGCUGGGGCUUCUGGGUUGAGACGGUUGCAGUGGACACCAGGAGUGUCGUGGGUGAUGGCUGUGAAAUGACCCAAGAACGAUUGCUAAAUCCGCUGGUUUAAUCACAUGCAAAGAGCCUUGUCAUUGAACAGGUGGCAGCAGGUGGGGGUUCCCCUCCCCUCCCUGGGAAGGGAGCACAGAGCU